UGCCAGUUGCCAGUGAAGACUGUGCAUGUUUCCCCAGAGUCCAGGAUGCCAUGAAAGAGUCCCAGUGUGAACCAGCCUGAAGGUAUUCACCAAGAGCACCCCAUGAAUCAAAGAGACUCACCCACAGGUGGUCCAAGAGAAGCCCAAAGGCCAGAGGCGCAGUGAACAUGACCUGCCAGAUGAUGUGUCGUCUACCUCAGAGAACUGCCAUUACUGGUGUCUCACAAGAGGAACUCCCAGGAAAACACCAAAAUCCUAUGAAGAAGGGGCCAACCACUGUGCAACCAAAUUACAAUGCUCUGGAGAAGAGAAUGUCUGAGCAUGUGUCACCUCAGAAAACUCUACGGUGUCUCUCCACUUCCUGCAUUAUCCCUUAGCCGCCAUCUUUGAUGCCUCACAGAGGAAGGAGGUUCUAGGUCUCGCUGGCAAUUCACGUUACAGAAAGGGCACCUAUUAUUUAUAUGGAAUUUGAAUUGAAUGUGAUAGGAGCAAAUCAGUUUUCCAAAGUGGCCAAGAGGGAGGAAAAGGGUUAAAAAGCCUCUGUUGAUGUAAGACACAAAUUAAAAGUAGAAAUAUAAGGAAUGAC